rnacentral:rRNA from 1 species
CACGCACACACGCGCGGCAUAUCAAUAAGCGGAGGAAAAGAAACUAACAAGGAUUCCCUUAGUAACGGCGAGUGAAGCGGGAAGAGCUCAAAUUUGAAAUCUUCAAGGUUCUACCUUGACGAAUUGUAGUUUAUAGAAGUGUUUUCUGUUAGUGGAGUGGCAAAAGUUCUUUGGAAUAGGACAUCAUAGAGGGUGAGAAUCCCGUAUUUGGUCAUUCCUCCUAGCGUUGUGAUACACUUUCAACGAGUCGGACUGUUUGGGAAUGCAGUCCAAAAUGGGUGGUAAAUUUCAUCUAAAGCUAAAUAUUGGCGAGAGACCGAUAGCGAACAAGUACCGUGAGGGAAAGAUGAAAAGAACUUUGAAAAGAGAGUUAAACAGUACGUGAAAUUGUCAAAAGGGAAGCGUUUGACACCAGUGUUGUUUUUCCGAAAAUCAAUUACGAAUGUUUUGUUUUUGAGGAGUUAUGACUUCAUCGGCUUGCUCCUUUCUUUAUGAAACUUUCUUAAUGCACUUUUCGGUUAACAAGUCAACAUCAAUUUCUUUUGUUGUAAAAGGGUAUGAGGAAGGUGGCUUUCUUUUCGGAGAAAGUGUUUAUAGCCUUGUGCCUCUGCAAUCGGAGAGACUGAGGUCUGCAGCGUAGAUCCUUCGGGGUUAGAUACGUUUGUGCUAAGUUAUAGCUUUUCAUAGACAACUUGUUGACUAUGUUUAGUCUUGUAGCUUACUCGCUGACGCUAUUUUACCUACGCUUAGGAUGUUGAUAGUCACAGCGUGUAC